rnacentral:rRNA from 1 species
AGAUUGAACGCUAGCGGGAUGCUUUACACAUGCAAGUCGAACGAACACUUCGGUGUUAGUGGCGCACGGGUGCGUAACGCGUGGAAUCUGCCCUUGGGUUCGGAAUAACAGUUAGGAAACGACUGCUAAUACCGGAUGAUGACGAAAGUCCAAAGAUUUAUCGCCAGGGAUGAGCCCGCGUAGAUUAGCUAGUUGGUAGUAAGGUAAAGGCCUACACCAAGGCGACGAUCCGUUAGCUGGUCUAGGAGAGGAUGAUCAGCCACGACGUGGGACGUGAAGACC